UACAGAGGUAGCAAGCGUUGUUCGGAAUGACUGGGUGUAAAGCGCGUGUAGGUGGUUUUGUAAGUUGAAUGUGAAAGCCCUUGGCUUAACCAAGGAAGUGCAUUCAAAACUGCUUAACUUGAGGAUGGAAGAGGAAAGUGGAAUUUCUGGUGUAGCGGUAAAAUGCGUAGAUAUCAGAAGGAACACCGGUGGCGAAGGCGACUUUCUGGUCCAUAUCUGACACUGAGACGCGAAAGCUAGGGGAG
rnacentral:rRNA from 1 species